rnacentral:rRNA from 1 species
UACGUAGGGUGCAAGCGUUAAUCGGAAUUACUGGGCGUAAAGCGUGCGCAGGCGGUGAUGUAAAGACAGAUGUGAAAUCCCCGGGCUCAACCUGGGAACUGCAUUUGUGACUGCAUCGCUGGAGUGCGGCAGAGGGGGAUGGAAUUCCGCGUGUAGCAGUGAAAUGCGUAGAUAUGCGGAGGAACACCGAUGGCGAAGGCAAUCCCCUGGGCCUGCACUGACGCUCAUGCACGAAAGCGUGGGGAGCAAACAGG